rnacentral:ncRNA from 1 species
AAUUUUUUAUAUAUUAAUUUAUAUUAGAAAAUUGAAUUAAAUAUACAAUUUAUAUAAAUUCCAUAUUAAUAUUCUAUGUAUAAAAGUUUGAUUUUUGUUUUUGUAAUUAGUUUUAUUAAUUUUUUUUUAUGUAAAUUUUUUUGUUUAUAUUAAUUCUAAAAGAUUAAUUAUUAGUAUCAGAAUUUAAUAUUAAUAUUUAAAUAAAUAUUUAAAAUAGAAAUUAAUAUUAAUAUUUAAUUAAAAUUGUGCCAGCAAUCGCGGUUAUACAAUUAAAUAUAAAUUAAUUAUGUUGGUUUAUAAUUAUAUAUUAUUUAAAAUAAUUUAAUUUUAAAUUUUAUAGGUGAAAUUUUAAAAUUUAUUAUUAAAUUUAAGUAAUUUAUAUUAGAAAUUUAGUUUUUAAAAUAGGAUUAGAGACCCUAGUAUUCUAAUUGUAUUAAAUAUUAGAUAAUUAUUAGUUAUAUUCUUGAAAUUCAAAAAAUUUGGCGGCAAUUAAUUUUAUAGAGGAAUUUGUUCUGUAAUCGAUAAUCCACGAUUAAUUUUACUUUUAUUUAACUUAUAUAUCGUUGUUAUAGAAUGUUUUUAGAGAAUAAUUUCCUUUACUUUAUUAGUAUUAUAUCAGAUCAAGGUUUAAUUAUAUAAAAGAAGUAGUGAAUUACAUUUAUAUUAAUAAUGAAUUAAAAUAUUUAAAUUUUUCAUGAAAUUGGAUUUAAAAGUAAAUUUAAAUAUAAAAUUAUUUUGAAUUUUAUUUUAAAUUAUGUACAUACCGCCCGUCACUCUCAUAGAUGAGAUAAGUCGUAACAAAGUAAUUUUACCAGAAGGUGGAUUUAGUAAGUC